rnacentral:rRNA from 1 species
UUCGGAUUGGCGACUGCUGGCGGUUUUCCGCCGGCUGUCGCUGAGAAGUCAGUUAAACCCUCCCACCUAGAGGAAGGAGAAGUCGUAACAAGGUUUCCGUAGGUGAACCUGCGGAAGGAUCA